AGCCCUAAUUACUCAACCACGGUCUUCUAGCUGUAGUCGCGGUCAGUCAAGAUGGUUAGAGUAAUGUGGUCACAGAAUCUAACUGCAGCCAUAUAUGCGCAGUCUCAGUUAAAUACAUGCGAUCACGGAUCAGCGGGAACUGGCCCAAGGGCAGAAUUAUAAAAUAUCAUGGACGAAUCAAAUUAUUUCUAAGCAAAAA
rnacentral:lncRNA from 1 species